rnacentral:misc_RNA from 1 species
CAAACUCCAAGCUGUGGCUUGAUGUUGGAUGCUGUCUUUUUGGUGAAAGGAGAGACACAUCUGGAACGUGUGGGCGCCGCCGCCAGACCACGAGCGUAGCAAGACGAAAGUCAGUCGUUCGAUUUGGAUCUGUCUGUGGUUGUCUGUCUGUCGGGGUCUGUUCUUUGGAAUUCUGAAGAACAGGCGACGUACAACACCCAAA